GGACCCACCCGGCCGGGAAUA
rnacentral:miRNA from 2 species